GACGAACGCUGGCGGCGUGCUUAACACAUGCAAGUCGAACGCUGAAGCCCAGCUUGCUGGGUGGAUGAGUGGCGAACGGGUGAGUAACACGUGAGUAACCUGCCCCCUUCUUUGGGAUAACGCCCGGAAACGGGUGCUAAUACUGGAUAUUCACUGAUCUUCGCAUGGGGGUUGGUGGAAAGGUUUUUUCUGGUGGGGGAUGGGCUCGCGGCCUAUCAGCUUGUUGGUGGGGUAGUGGCUUACCAAGGCUUUGACGGGUAGCCGGCCUGAGAGGGUGACCGGCCACAUUGGGACUGAGAUACGGCCCAGACUCCUACGGGAGGCAGCAGUGGGGAAUAUUGCACAAUGGGCGGAAGCCUGAUGCAGCAACGCCGCGUGCGGGAUGACGGCCUUCGGGUUGUAAACCGCUUUCGCCUGUGACGAAGCGUGAGUGACGGUAAUGGGUAAAGAAGCACCGGCUAACUACGUGCCAGCAGCCGCGGUGAUACGUAGGGUGCGAGCGUUGUCCGGAUUUAUUGGGCGUAAAGGGCUCGUAGGUGGUUGAUCGCGUCGGAAGUGUAAUCUUGGGGCUUAACCCUGAGCGUGCUUUCGAUACGGGUUGACUUGAGGAAGGUAGGGGAGAAUGGAAUUCCUGGUGGAGCGGUGGAAUGCGCAGAUAUCAGGAGGAACACCAGUGGCGAAGGCGGUUCUCUGGGCCUUUCCUGACGCUGAGGAGCGAAAGCGUGGGGAGCGAACAGGCUUAGAUACCCUGGUAGUCCACGCUGUAAACGGUGGGUACUAGGUGUGGGGUCCAUUCCACGGGUUCCGUGCCGUAGCUAACGCUUUAAGUACCCCGCCUGGGGAGUACGGCCGCAAGGCUAAAACUCAAAGGAAUUGACGGGGCCCCGCACAAGCGGCGGAGCAUGCGGAUUAAUUCGAUGCAACGCGUAGAACCUUACCUGGGUUUGACAUGGAUCGGGAGUGCUCAGAGAUGGGUGUGCCUCUUUUGGGGUCGGUUCACAGGUGGUGCGUGGCUGUCGUCAGCUCGUGUCGUGAGAUGUUGGGUUAAGUCCCGCAACGAGCGCAACCCUUGUUCACUGUUGCCAGCACGUUAUGGUGGGGACUCAGUGGAGACCGCCGGGGUCAACUCGGAGGAAGGUGGGGAUGACGUCAAGUCAUCAUGCCCCUUAUGUCCAGGGCUUCACGCAUGCUACAAUGGCUGGUACAGAGAGCGGCGAGCCUGUGAGGGUGAGCGAAUCUCGGAAAGCCGGUCUCAGUUCGGAUUGGGGUCUGCAACUCGACCUCAUGAAGUCGGAGUCGCUAGUAAUCGCAGAUCAGCAACGCUGCGGUGAAUACGUUCCCGGGGCU
rnacentral:rRNA from 1 species